UGAAGUUCUCAGGAACUGAGUUGAAUGACUGGAGGUGCACCAACAUCUGAUCAGUCUGGUUGAUGCUGAAAGAACAAGAGUACACAGGCGUGUGUUCCAAAAGCGGCGGAUGACAGAGGUCCGGUACGGGCUGGUGAUGGGUUUCCUCUGGGUGCAGCUGAUGUCAUGUAGAAUGUCAUAGCUUCCCUCCAUCGUCACCUCCACCUUUGUGGUUCUCAUGACGGGGUCCAGUGGCCAGGAAGCUGCUGCCAGUUCUGAUGCAAAUGGCGGAGCAACGAACCGUAGCGAGGCCUGGUUCCUGCACACAACGAGGUGGUCACUGCACAUUCAGCGAGCCUCGCUGAAAGUACGGUUUUUCACGGCGGAAAAACGACACCAUUGUAUGACACACAGAGCAGUGAGCGACCAUGUACGGCACCCGGGGAGCAGAUGUUGAGGGAGUAAGGUGCCUUGCUCAGGGGCACUAGACAGGGUAGGGAGAAUCCUCUUGUAUUUUUGGACAGAUUAGCCAUUAUGAAGGAGCUUCCAGUACAUCCAACCGGACCUUGCAUCAGCAUUGUAGAGUUCAGGAGUUGUCGGAGAAGAAAGAGGCUAAGCUUAUUGAAGCGGUGCAGAUGACAUGGAUCCAUCCUUCCACAGCCAGGAGCUCACCGACCUGUGUGCCACACUUCAAAUAAGACUAAAAGCUACACUGAUCUCACAGCUACACAGCAAAGACGUCUACAGCUACAACUGGCUAGGCCAGUUGUGUUUGUACAAUAUUUGUGCUGUAUGUAAAUAAAGCUUUGACUCAACA